AACGCACCUUGCGCCCUCUGGUAUUCCGGAGGGCAUGCCUGUUUGAGUGUCAUGAACACCUCACCCCCUCGGGUUUCCGAUUGGGUGGAUUUGGGUGCUGCCAGUUACAUGGCUCGCCUUAAACGCAUUAGCGGUUGUUGACGUAAUAAGUUUCGUCUUGUCGACCGCUUCUAAUCUCCUUCGGGAUGUCUUUCGGGACACUUCAUGAUCUGACCUCAAAUCAGGUAGGACUACCCGCUGAACUUAA
rnacentral:misc_RNA from 1 species